rnacentral:rRNA from 1 species
GAUGAACGCUGGCGGCGUGCCUAAUACAUGCAAGUCGAGCGAACAGACGAGGAGCUUGCUCCUUUGACGUUAGCGGCGGACGGGUGAGUAACACGUGGAUAACCUACCUAUAAGACUGGGAUAACUUCGGGAAACCGGAGCUAAUACCGGAUAACAUGUUGAACCGCAUGGUUCAACAGUGAAAGACGGUCUUGCUGUCACUUAUAGAUGGAUCCGCGCCGCAUUAGCUAGUUGGUAAGGUAACGGCUUACCGAGGCAACGAUGCGUAGCCGACCUGAGAGGGUGAUCGGCCACACUGGAACUGAGACACGGUCCAGACUCCUACGGGAGGCAGCAGUAGGGAAUCUUCCGCAAUGGGCGAAAGCCUGACGGAGCAACGCCGCGUGAGUGAAGAAGGUCUUCGGAUCGUAAAACUCUGUUAUUAGGGAAGAACAAAUGUGUAAGUAACUAUGCACGUCUUGACGGUACCUAAUCAGAAAGCCACGGCUAACUACGUG